GACGAACGCUGGCGGCGUGCCUAAUACAUGCAAGUCGAACGGUCUUUUCUAUGAAAGCUUGCUUUCACUGAGAAGAUAGUGGCGGACGGGUGAGUAACACGUGGGUAACCUGCCCAUAAGAGGGGGAUAACAUCCGGAAACGGGUGCUAAUACCGCAUAGUUUUUUUGGUCACAUGACUGAGAAAGGAAAGACGGCCUUUGUGCUGUCGCUUAUGGAUGGACCCGCGGCGUAUUAGUUAGUUGGUGAGGUAAUGGCUCACCAAGACGAUGAUACGUAGCCGACCUGAGAGGGUGAUCGGCCACAUUGGGACUGAGACACGGCCCAAACUCCUACGGGAGGCAGCAGUAGGGAAUCUUCCGCAAUGGACGAAAGUCUGACGGAGCAACGCCGCGUGAGUGAAGAAGGUUUUCGGAUCGUAAAACUCUGU
rnacentral:rRNA from 1 species